rnacentral:lncRNA from 1 species
ACAGAGUGUCUCCUCCACAAGCUGAGUACCUCAGGUGCCAGUCUUCUGGGUUCCGGGAUUCCCACCACAGGUGUGAGACCACACCCUCUGACUGGUGAAAUAAGAGAUGCUCAAGGAACUUAAAGGAUUUGUUCAAAACCAAAGGAAAAGGGCCACAGAGCGGAGCCAAGCAUCCACAGCCUCCACUGCAGGGUGAGGUGAGGCCGGCUGUGUGGUGACUAAGUCAGCUUUCCAGAAAUCAGGAAAGGAGCGACGGAGUCCACAGGUGAGGGGGCUCUGAUCCUGGGUGUCUGUGUUCCUGAGCCAUGAUUUUUGUACCUUCAACAAUGGAAAAGACUUCCUGUCCACCGCCAGAGGGUUGGUACCAGGACUUCCUGUUACCCGCUUCUCCAUCAUCUAGACACUGUUUAUGGUGGUUCCCAGCAAGGACAGACAGACUGCUGGCACCUGUGACAGACAGCUCAUCUUGCUAUCAAUCUGACCUACUGUAUCUGGAAUGAACUAAAACUAGAGCCCACAGGCUCUCCUGUAAGGGAUUUUCUUAAUCAUUAUUAUUGGGAGCAGGAAGGCCCACCCUGAAUCUGGGUAGCACCUUCUGGAAGAAGGAAGCUUCCCUUUUUGUUUGCUUGCGGUCACUCUCUCAGGGCAAGCCUGUGGAUCCUGCGCUUUGGCAUUCCUUCACAAAUAUUUAAAAAAAAACAAAUUCUUUGGGAUUCCAAUACAGACCGAAGACCUCUCCAGGAAUUCCGCCAACCUUCAGUGCCUUCUUACAACUACUGAGACAACUACCAGAUUCUCAGUCUCUCCAGCAUGUGACAUCCAUUGCUGGAUCAUCCAGACCACACAUCCUUUAAGCCAGUCUAAUAAAUUCCUUUUUACUACAUA